CUGUAAAAUCGAUAUUGAUAUCGCCCAUUAUUAUCAUUUCUAGUUCUAAUUCAUUUGCCUUCUCGAUUUCCUUUUCAAAUUCAUCAAUCCACGAUUGUGGCAUAUCAGGAGGUCUGUAGAUAAAACAUAUUAAUAGGGAUUUGGAGUUUUUGAAAUGAAUCUGAAGCCAUAUACUUUCCAGUGAACUUAUUUCUAAAUCAGUUCUUCUUUUGUAUUUUAAAGAGCUAGAAACGUAAGCAAGUAC
rnacentral:lncRNA from 1 species